CCUACGGGUGGCUGCAGUGAGGAAUAUUGGUCAAUGGACGAGAGUCUGAACCAGCCAAGUAGCGUGAAGGAUGACUGCCCUAUGGGUUGUAAACUUCUUUUAUAUGGGAAUAAAGUGUUCCACGUGUGGGAUUUUGUAUGUACCAUAUGAAUAAGGAUCGGCUAACUCCGUGCCAGCAGCCGCGGUAAUACGGAGGAUCCGAGCGUUAUCCGGAUUUAUUGGGUUUAAAGGGAGCGUAGAUGGAUUGUUAAGUCAGUUGUGAAAGUUUGCGGCUCAACCGUAAAAUUGCAGUUGAGACUGGCAGUCUUGAGUACAGUAGAGGUGGGCGGAAUUCGUGGUGUAGCGGUGAAAUGCUUAGAUAUCACGAAGAACUCCGAUUGCGAAGGCAGUUCACUGGACUGCAACUGACACUGAGGCUCGAAAGUGUGGGUAUCAAACAGGAUUAGAUACCCGAGUAGUC
rnacentral:rRNA from 1 species